rnacentral:rRNA from 1 species
CAACAGGGAUUGCCCUAGUAACGGCGAGUGAAGCGGCAACAGCUCAAAUUUGAAAUCUGGCUCUUUUAGAGUCCGAGUUGUAAUUUGCAGAGGGCGCUUUGGCUUUGGCAGCGGUCCAAGUUCCUUGGAACAGGACGUCACAGAGGGUGAGAAUCCCGUACGUGGUCGCUAGCUAUUGCCGUGUAAAGCCCCUUCGACGAGUCGAGUUGUUUGGGAAUGCAGCUCUAAAUGGGAGGUAAAUUUCUUCUAAAGCUAAAUAUUGGCCAGAGACCGAUAGCGCACAAGUAGAGUGAUCGAAAGAUGAAAAGCACUUUGGAAAGAGAGUCAAACAGCACGUGAAAUUGUUGAAAGGGAAGCGCUUGCAGCCAGACUUGCUUGCAGUUGCUCAUCCGGGCUUUUGCCCGGUGCACUCUUCUGCAGGCAGGCCAGCAUCAGUUUGGGCGGUGGGAUAAAGGUCUCUGACACGUUCCUUCCUUCGGGUUGGCCAUAUAGGGGAGACGUCAUACCACCAGCCUGGACUGAGGUCCGCGCAUCUGCUAGGAUGCUGGCGUAAUGGCUGUAAGCGGCCCGUCUUGAAACACGGACCAAGGAGUCUAACAUCUAUGCGAGUGUUUGGGUGUCAAGCCCGAGCGCGUAAUGAAAGUGAACGGAGGUGGGAACCCGCAAGGGUGCACCAUCGACCGAUCCUGAAGUUUACGGAAGGAUUUGAGUAAGAGCAUGGCUGUUGGGACCCGAAAGAUGGUGAACUAUGCUUGAAUAGGGUGAAGCCAGAGGAAACUCUGGUGGAGGCUCGCAGCGGUUCUGACGUGCAAAUCGAUCGUCAAAUUUGGGCAUAGGGGCGAAAGACUAAU